rnacentral:rRNA from 1 species
GUGGGCUGUACUAGAAGAUGCCGAGCCAACCCGCAAGGGAAGCAAGUGUCCACGGUAUGGUUCAUGAUUGGGGUGAAGUCGUAACAAGGUAGCUGUAGGUGAACCUGCAGAAGGAUCA